rnacentral:lncRNA from 1 species
UACUAUUUUUGUUUUCAUCAUUUGUAUAAUUAAAAUUUGCAACAUUUAAAUUUAUAUAUUAAAAGUAAAAUUUUCAAUUUUAGAAUAAGUACAAAAUUAAAAUUCUUAAUCAAGAGUAUUCAAAAUUGAUCUCUAACUUAAACAAUACAUGAUAGUUUUAUUUUUUGUUUGUCAAUUUACUUGAUUUAUUUUUUGGAAUACAACACUAAAAGAUAAAGAUGUAACAAAUAAUUUAAGCAAUUUAAAAAUUUGGUUUUAAAAAUAAAAUAUAUCAAAAAACAAAAAAAAAAUUAUUUUAUUUGUUGAGACAUUUAUGCUACAUAAAAAGUACUCCUCCGUUUUUUAGGAGUCUUUUUAGAAUAGUAACAAUAAAUUGACAAGGUGUAUUUUUACACUUUAUCUUUCUAUUAUACCCUAAUUUUAAUCCACCAAUAUAUUCCUAUUUUUUUGCACACACUUUCUCUUUCCAAUAAAUUUAAUAUAUUAUAUACACAAAUAAAAAAAACAAAAAAGAAGGCUGAAAUGGAAGGGAGUUUCAACAAACUGCGAAGGCAGAAGAUAUGCCAAUGAAAAAACAGCUUCUGCAACUGAAAAAGAAAUUAAAGGAAAGGCGGCUUCAGUAACUCAGAAGGGAAAAGAGAAGGCUAAACUGGAAGGAGAGUCUUCAAACAAUUGCGAAGGCGAACAUAUGCCAAUGAAAAAGCAGCUUCUCGCUAGUGUCAAUUUAGGUGGACUAGUUUAGCUUGGGACCUGAAAAUGUGCUCCUCCUUAAGGUCUCUUGGUCGAUUCUCACUAGUGUCAAUUUAAGUGGACUAAUUUACCUUCUUCAAAAAAUAAUUAAUAAUAAGUGUGAACAUACUUUUUAAAGAAACAAAAGAGAGAAGAAAAAAAGCAUGUGAAAAAAAAAUCCUAAAUAAAUUCCUCAAAAAAAGUACUUAUGAGAUACAUUUGUCUAUGUUGAAAUACAUCAACUUUCUUUGACCAAUUUUCUCUUAUAUUUUGGGACGGAGGGAGUAUGUCUGUAUGCCAUUAUGUCAUUUUGGGCGCCCACAUGUCCCACUCAUUGCUAUAAGGAAUAUGCUCACAUUUUUACAAAUGCUUUUUUGUUUCCUUACUACAAUAACAUAUGAAUUUUUUACUAUUUUGUUUGAUUUUUUCUUCUCAAUUGACAAGCAUCGAAUUUAUAAUCACAUGUUUAACUAAAUUUGGAUUCGUUAAGAAUUGAUAAUAUCAAUCAUGAUAUUCUAUAUUGUUAUACUGCACUUUUAUUAGUGUAAAUAGGAUAUCAUUGGUACAUAAUUACAGAGCAAAUAUCUUAAAAAUAGUGAGCCUCAAAUGAGGGGCAAAUCUCUAUAGUAUUUUUUGUUGUAUGUUAAAACUCGAUCAAAAAAUUAGUUAUGGUUCGUUUGAUCUGUAAAAUAUAAGUUUUGCUGGGCAAAACAUCACAAGACAAAAAUUAAGAUAUUGAACAAAUUUUGUCUUGUACGAUGUUUGAUAGACAAAAAGUUAUUUUGAUAUUUUAGACAAAUUGUGCAUAUGACAAAAAGUGUAACGUGGUUCAGUAUGAGACAAGAAUUUCAAUUUUUGUCCAUUCCUUAUCCUCCAAUUUUUCCAAUCCAAAAAUAAUUUUAAAAUCAAAUACAGUUAACUGUACAACUAAAAUUAUCAUAUACAAUUCCUUAUUCUUUAGCAGAUUAAAUGCUUCCUUAAACUAUAAGUGACAAGUAUGUCUCAAUCAAGUAUUUUUGUGUAUGUUAUACUGCACUUUCACUGCGAAUAUAUUCCUAAUCUUACAUGCUUAUUGUGGAUUAUCCACUCGGACAAUGUUAAUGAGCAUAUGUUUGAUCUGAUUCCAACACAUUGCUAGGUCUGCUUUUUGAAGAAGCAAAUUACAAAUUUGUUGAUUUCUUCUUCCACUUACAUACACCACUAUGCUUGGUCGGCCUUCGAACCAUAAAAGGGUAUCCAUGGAAUAACAUAAUUUCAUGCCACAUUAGAUUCUUAUCAUCAGUUACGUACGUUACGACUAACCACCACAAGCUACAAAUUAUAACCACUCUAACGUUACCAAAUAUGAUCAUGACAUAUCUAGCUAGAGUUGUUGAAAUUCAAAUCUAAAUGGUUACUUUUAUAUUAUUCUCACAAUAGAUGAAAUAGAACAAUAUAUUAUAAAAGAAAUGCCUUAUAUGUCUAAUGUUUUAAACUUUUUAUUAAAUAUAAGGAGUUAAUGUCUUGGUUUUGAACAUUAGUUUGUGCUAACAUUUUUUUUUUUGGACAAAUAGUCUAGUGAUUAGAAUUUCUUGAAGUUUCCGAGAUUCAAACUCCGACUCAUACAUGUAAAAUUUGAUGACCCUAUCAAUUUAGCUAAGCUCAUGGGAACUUAGUCCCAUAUAUAUAUAGUACUAGUUUAAUGUAUUACUCUAUUUAUUUAUUUUAUAAAGAAAAACAUAUUAAUUAUAUUAAAAAGUCUCUUCUAGUAUAAGAUGUGCAAAGAAUACAAAAUGGAUGUACAAGAGAAGGAAAUAUAAAAGAAAAACAAGAAAAAAAUUACAAGGGGCAGGCUUAUCAAGAAGAUGAGAUUAAUCCGCGAUAACAUAAAAGAUUAAACCAUCAAUAAUUCAGAUUAUAAGUGAAAUAUUUUAACUUAGCCAAGAAAAAAAUUCCCCUAUAAUUCCUGUUACGAGUGGGGUAGCUACCCUAUUUUAUGCUGAAAUUGUUAGAGUUUGUUGAAAUGUCAUGUUGGGUUUUGACGGGUCACGAGGAUUGGAGUCCUCUUGUUGCUUUGUCCUUCUUGUGGUUGGUUCUUAUCCUUAUCUUCCUGAGGUAGUUUGGUAGUUUUAUUUGCCGGUUUGUUUUUCUAUAUAUAACUUAAAAAUUGUUAGGUUUUGAUGAAGUGUAUUUCAUUUCUAGUAUCUCUUUAUUUUUCAAAUUUUUUUUCUUUUUUUCUUUUUUUCUUUUAUUUUUUUUAUUUAUACUAGUGGCCAAACGGGCACGUUCCGUGCCCGUUUGUGUGGUCCAUAUUUUCUAUUUUGCUAACAUAUAUAUAAACCGUAAACAAUGAUUUUAAUAAAAAUGUGAUUUUUAUUCAAUUCAAUUUUUGCGUACUUUUAGUUUCCAUUUAAAUAAAAAAAUGUAUAUUUAGAAGUACUCUCUCUGUCUCAAAAAUGAUUGAGAAAGGCUAAGAGAACGCGUCAGUACACCACAUCCUGAAACCGUUCUCAUAGCCUAUGUCAACGUUUUUUUUUUGCAUUUUUUUUUUAUACCGAUGAGGGUGCAUUACACAAUGGCUUUUAGGCGUUGCUAUAGAAUGAAAAUGUUGUAAUGAAAGAAAAAUAAUUUAAUAAUAAAUUUUACUAUAUUUAAGAAUGACUUCAUGCAAUUUUUCUUAUUUAAAGAAGAUGUACAAAGUAAACGUUGUUGAUAGCAUAAACUAUAUAUGGUUUUAAAUUGUCACUAGUACAGAAAACACUUUUUACAUCUGGCCAAAACCCCCUUUUACAUCUGGCCCAAGUCAGAGGUAGACGUACGAGAAGUAGUAAGUUUAUGCUUUUUACAUCUGACAUUCGCCGGAUGUAAAAGUAUCCCCUUUUACCUCUGUUCUCAUGUUUCAGCUGACCAAUUUUUAUUUUUNNNNNNNNNNNNNNNNNNNNNNNNNNNNNNNNNNNNNNNNNNNNNNNNNNNNNNNNNNNNNNNNNNNNNNNNNNNNNNNNNNNNNNNNNNNNNNNNNNNNNNNNNNNNNNNNNNNNNNNNNNNNNNNNNNNNNNNNNNNNNNNNNNNNNNNNNNNNNNNNNNNNNNNNNNNNNNNNNNNNNNNNNNNNNNNNNNNNNNNNNNNNNNNNNNNNNNNNNNNNNNNNNNNNNNNNNNNNNNNNAAUGUUUUGGAGGAAAAUGUCAAUAUUGUGAUGUGCGAUCGUGGGGCUUAAGAAAAUGACUUUUGUCACAAGAAUAGAAUUGAUCAAGAUUUGCACUUUCAAAAAUUUCUUUGAUCAUGAAAACUGAAAACUACAGAUUUGACAAUUUUUUGUUGCGAUAUAUAUAUAUGACAAUUUUAAUACGUUAGGAUUUUUGAUAAAAAUUUAAAUACGUUAAUAUUCAGACAGAUUUUAUGGACCAAGGAUAAGUUAUCACUAAUAGACAACUCUUACGUAUCAAAGUUCUAUUUAAGUAUAUCAAUAUUACUUUGCGAAAUAUAAUAUUACUCCGUCAAUUCCAAAAUGAAUCAAAGGAUAUGAUUUCAUUUGAUUUUUUCCUUUGUGAUUUUUUCGUUUGUCCCACUUUAGUGCAAAGUUGUUUGUUAUCUCGUCUUUAUACGAUGUUUGUCCCAUCUUUGUAUUGUGCUUUUUUGUUUAAAUUUGCAGAUUUGUUUCAAUCCAAAUUCAUAGCAGAUUCAAUAAUUUUAGAGUCGUCAAUGUUGCAGAUCCGGAGACAUGGUUGUUCCGGACACUUGGAUUUUGUUAUAUCAAUUGUAGGUUUUAUCAUAUUUGUAGACAUUAAGUCGUUUUAUGCUAUUAACUUGGAUGUUGUGAGCUUGUUCGCAGAUUCAUCCUUUUUAGUUUUUAGCGAAUUUGAAUAUGUAAUAAUAUCGAUUGAUGUACUUUGCCGAUUUGAAUGAAUGAAUAUCAUUUUUUUUCGUAAAAAAAAAGUAGAUAAUAGUACACUUUUAUUAAAAUAAUCGUAAUAAGUUUUAUUGUUUUUAUAAUUUUUUUACUAAAGUGUAUUUAUAAUUAUUAUAAAUGCAAACUAAAAUAUAUUAAAUCAGGAGUGAUGUAAAUAGUAUUAAUUAGAGGAUAAAAUUGAAGGGAAAAAAAAUAUUAAUUUUGAAUUGAAAAUUAGAAGAACAUGAAGCCAUCCAUAUUGGUUUUAGAAGAACAUGAAGCAAAAGACCAAAGGUAUAGGAUAAAACAAUGUUUAAUUAAAUACCCGCCGGUUGAUUUUUAAGUGUGUCUUUUGACCAAUGUACAGAUAUCUCAUAUGAUUACUAAUAUUUUUAAUUAUGUAUUAUAAAAAAUUAUAAAAUUAUAUAUUUUGAAAAUAUUAAUCGAGAAAAAUUAAAUAAUAUCUUAUUUGUUAACAUUUNNNNNNNNNNNNNNNNNNNNNNNNNNNNNNNNNNNNNNNNNNNNNNNNNNNNNNNNNNNNNNNNNNNNNNNNNNNNNNNNNNNNNNNNNNNNNNNNNNNNNNNNNNNNNNNNNNNNNNNNNNNNNNNNNNNNNNNNNNNNNNNNNNNNNNNNNNNNNNNNNNNNNNAAAAGGGCAUCCAAAUGCAUCCAAAAUUAUUCGGUUUUUUGCGGUUUUUGGUUUUUUUGGAUCGGUUUCCGGUUUUUAAUUGGAUUGGUUUGGAUUUGAGCACCCCUAGUGCACAGUGGUUAAAAACGACACUUGAAAAGGAACGGAGCAAUAGUUAUAUAAAAAACAAUAAAAUUUAUUGGAUUUUUUUUUUUGGUAAGUAGUUUAGUGACUAAAAUUUCAUCUUUUUAAAGAUGAAUAAGUGGAGUGUCCAUGGAUCGAACCCUGACUCUUUCAUAUAAAAUAUAAUAUCCCUACCAAUUGAGCUAAGCUUGCGGGGACAAAUUUAUUGGAUUUUUUUUUCUUGGUGCCAGGUCUCGAACUGAAUAUCUCUCAGUUGAAGAACAAAUCAUCAACCAAGUGAACUCUCAUGAAGACAAUUUAUUGGAUGUUUUAUUACAUGUAAAAAGCUAAAAGUGAUGAUUAAUUAUUUUUAAUUUUGGACUUAUUUUAGUCCUGCAAAUUGGUUUAUUUUGAUUUUAUUUCCUAUAAAAUAAAAAUUUUGAUUUAUACCCCAUCAAAAUUACAAAGGUUUUAAGAAAUCCCCUGGAUUAAAUUUUGAACUGAUUUAACCAAUUUUUAUUUAUGUGGUAGAUGUUGAUUGUGUAACUUAUAAUGCCAUAGCAUUUACAAUAUCUUAAAUAUUUAAAUUAAUCAAUUAAUAUAUUAUUUGCAAUGUAUGUUAAACACAAAAUAAUGGAAAUCAAAAGUGAGAAUUAUUGAAAAACAGGUUAGCCGGUCACGCAUUUUCUCACAAUUUUUCUCUCCUUUUAUUUAUUCUUAUAUUACAGGGUGAUUUUUGGCCUUUUUUUUGUUGCCUGNNNNNNNNNNNNNNNNNNNNNNNNNNNNNNNNNNNNNNNNNNNNNNNNNNNACAGGGUGAUUUUUGUUGCCUGAAAUCACCCCCUCAAUACCGUUUUUGUCUCUCUUUUUAUUUAAAUAAGUGGUUAUCCACAUAAAUUUGAUUUUUCAUUUUUUUUUGUAAGUUUUCAUCGUCUUAGCGCGGUGUUGUGUUUGUCGUCGUCUUGUGUGGCGUUUGUUGGUUUUUCGUCUUAUUACGGUGUUUCGUUGAUUCAAACUGACAAAUUCACUUCAACUCAUUACAGAUCUAAUGAAGACUUAAACGUCAACGUUGCAGAUCUGGUGUAUGAAUAUUUCAGUUACUUUUAUUUUUGUCAUAUUUGUAGGCACUUUUAUGAUGAUGCUAUUAACAUAGGUGCUGCAAGAUUGUUUGUACAUAAUUUUAUAAUAAAAAAUUAGUUUUGUAUAGUUGUAUCGAAACAAACUAUGUACUACAUCAUUUUCUUUUUAUGUGUCGUUUGACUGCCACUACAACAUUUUUCGCUUUCGCCAACCACUGAAAACCGUUGCAAAAUGUACCAAAACAGUUGUCUAAACGUUUAGUCAACGGUUUAUCAGGUGUGGUAUAUACGGGCGUUACCUUUUCGAACAACCAACGGUUUUUGACUUUUUGCCAACACAUUCAGUAAACUGUUGGCUGAACAUGUGCAAAGACAACAGUGUUUUCUCUAUUUUCAGGCAACGGUUCCCCAGAUGCAACCAUAUAUAAUCAUUGCUUAAAAUAUAAAUGUCAACGGCUUUAUUCAGGCAACACAUAAAUAACCGUUGCGUAUAAUAUAUGGAAAGGCAACGAUUUUUACCAAGCAACAGAUAAAAACCAUUGUCUGUAGGUUAAAUCCUAUAAGCAACAACUUUGAACAUUGUCUGUAGGUUAAAUCCUAUAAGCAACAACUUUGAAAGCAUUGUCUAAAACUUGUUGGCUAAAACCAGAAUUAAAUUAUUUUACCAAUUAAUUCACUAUUAUAUCCAUAUGGUGAUACAAUUGUAGUUGUCAUGCUUUACGCAUCAUUCUCGAUAAAAUUAUACUAAACACAAUAAUCUCAUAAAUUGAAAAAACACUAAAAAUAGUACUAAUCUCAGCACCAACCCUUUCAACCAUAGGCGAACAACACCAAAAAUUAAAAAUCAAUUGUAGAUCAAAAAGCACCAAAUUUACCAACAAUAAAGAUAUCCUAAAAACUACAUGAUUUCUGCAGCAAAAAAACAAACUACAAGAACAAUGUUGACUAGUGCAGAAUGAAGUUAUACCAUAAACUACAUGGUUUGCAUCAAAUAAGAAAACAAGUUCAGACGGUCCUCAUUAUAAGCAUCAAAUAAGAAUAUUUGUCAAAAAGAAGACCUCAUUAUAUGCAUCAAAUAAUAAAAAUUGGAACAAAAUUAACAACUGAAGACUUCUCAAUAUUUGCAAGGGGCUAGUCAAAAUCAGAAUCUUCAUUUCUUAUCUCUUCCAUAACAAUUGAAGACUUCUCAAUAAUUGCAGCAGGUAUAUCUUCCCGAAUCCAAUUGAGUUCACCAUCAAAAAGAUCACUUUCAUAAGCUUCUUGGACCAUUAAUUUUGAUUUGUCACCCAUGUUAAAUAUAUCUCUAGGAAAUGUAUUCAUAGCAAAAUGCCUAUUUGCAUUGAGUGGAUCUUGGACAUAGAAACAUUGUUGGACUUGAGAAGGUAGCACAAAAGGAUCAUUUUGAUAACAUUUUUUGUUGAAAUAUACACAAGUAAGCCCAUGUUUUUCUUCUUCAACCUCAUACCAAUCACAUUUAAACAACACAAAGUUGAAAUGGCCAUAAUAGUCUAACUCUAUUAUGUCACUAAUUGAUCCAUAAUAAGUGAUGGCUUCUGUCUUAGGAUUUUCAUCCUUAGAGCUUGCAAAACUUGGAGUCAAUGAAACCAAAGUUACACCAGAAUUUUGAGUUUUGCGUCUUGCAUCUCUAUUCAUAGUAUGGAAUCUAUUUCCAUUAAUGAGGUAACCCGAAAACCUCUUUGCUACAUGACUUGGACCUCUAGAAAAAUCUUUCAGCUGAAUUGAUACAUCAUCUUUCAAGGCUCGAGUUUUAAACCAUUCACUAAAAUCAUGGCUUUGGCCUUUGGCCUUGACCCACUUUGGUCCUUUAGUUUGACUAUCAACAAUAUCAUCAUGCUCCCUACGAAGAUAACUUAUUAUCUAUUAGAAACAAACAAUAAUAUAUGUUUUAAAUGUGUGUAUAUAAGAACAAUUAAACCAUUUUGGUACCUGAUGUAUGUGUCAAUGUCGCCACAAUUGAACAAGAGGUAUCGAUGGGCAUGGGAUUUUGUAUUCGAAUCUAGAUAAAAUGGUUUACCAUUUUUCUUUCCACAUAAAGGACGGCCAAUACAUGAAAAUAACUUCAUUAAAAUAUAGAUUUGAGUAGUUAGAAUUUAUUAAAAGUAUUUGAAAAUAUUUUUUAUUUUUAUUUAAUGCAAAAAUGUUGAAAUCAUUGGAUAAUGACGAAUUAAAAAAAUCUUGCACAAUUUUUAAGAUUUCUUUUCUUCAUAAGGAUUUGUCAGAUGUUGAUAAUAUCUUUUCCGAAUUGAAAAUGUUGUAAAUGUGUCCACAAAAUGUGUUGAUGUCAGCAAUUAAAAUUCUCGAGUUUGUUAGAGUCGUAGAGGUUAUCCAAAUGUUACAAUUGUCUAUUGAUUUCUCUUAACUAUGUCGGUGAUUGUUGCAUAUGCAAAAAGAAAUUAUUCGAAGUUCAAAUUUUUGAAAAACUACUUGAUCGAGAUUGUCAAUAUCACAAGAAAUGUUAAAUGAUCUAGCCCUUUUAUUUAUUGAGAAAGAUAGUUCUAUCGAUAUAGACACAAUUAUUAGUUAAUUUGCAACUAAAAGUGUUUGUAUGAAAUAUUUUGUGUGAGUAUUUUUUAUAUCAUCUAGUAGUUAGGCCCAAAUUAUAAAUUCGCUCAUAAGCCACCAAAAUCAUAGAAACGAGCUUCGCGAUAGCAUAACUAACAUGUACUACGUUUUUGUGUUUUUUACCCCAAAUGUUUUGAUUAUAUUUUAAAUAGAGGAACAUAAAAAUAGUGCAUAUCAUUAGUUGGAUUAAUAUGUAGAUGUGUGACAUGUGACAAGGUAAAUUUAGGGUCGUAGAUUUAAGAUUUAGUAUUUUAUUAAUUAAAAAAAACAUAAGAAGAAGAUAAAAUUUAAAAUUUAGUAUUUCACCCUGACCCUUAAAUUUUAGUUUCUCUCCCCAACCCUUCUUUGGAGGUGUGCGUGGUUCGGUUGGACUCCCCGUUUUGGGUCGGAUCUUGUUGAGCAUGAGUUGGGAAUUUCUGAUGAUUUCCGAUCAAGACCAUGUUGUCGCAGUGCUUGCUUCUGUUGGAUCUGUUCGUUGCGGGUUUGGUUUGUUUGGCUUGAAACAACCUUUUUUAUUUUGCUUGAUGUGUGUUAUCGCAGUUGUAGGGGUUGUUGGAACGUGGAUUUGUCCUGACAGUUGAUUCAUUCGUCAUCCCGCAUGACUGCAAAAUUCGUGUUUCAUUCUUUGAUCCCUAAUGUUGUUUAAGACUGCAUGUUUCAAAUGUUUGGAUUUCGCGUCAGUGCCGCAUGUUAUCCGUAUCAGUCCUUGAUUUCAGACUGAUUUGAUAUCCUCGUCAUUAAAUGUUGGNNNNNNNNNNNNNNNNNNNNNNNNNNNNNNNNNNNNNNNNNNNNNNNNNNNNNNNNNNNNNNNNNNNNNNNNNNNNNNNNNNNNNNNNNNNNNNNNNNNNNNNNNNUUUUUUUUUUUUUUUGCUUUGCAUGUCAACUAAUACUAACUAUGUUUUUCGCCACAUCAUCCUACUAAAUCUCACUUUCUUAAUAUGACGUGGAAGAAUGCUUCAUUCUUAUUGGUUGUGACUAUCGGUGUAAAAUUAAUUUACAUGUUAGUCUUUAAACUCUAUUUAUAAUUGUUAAUUUCAAUCGAUUAUUGGUAUUUCAGUUCCAGACUUCCAGUAUGUAAAUCCUAAAUGACUCCGAUUCGGAAGAACUGUACCAAAAUCACUCUAAUUCUUGAUGAUAAUCGACUUUUGAACAAACAUGUGAUAGAAUCGGCGAAAGUUUCUCAGAAAAAUCUCUGAUCUGAAGCUUGAAAUUGUUAAUCUCCGUCUUGGUCAUCAUUGUCUUUCUGUUCUGUCUCUGAGCAUCGCAAUUCCUGAAAUUGUGUAUCAGAAUCGAUGAAGAAAGGAACAAACAAUUCAGUGACUGAACUUUGUGGUGCAUGCAAUACUAUACAUCAGUAGUUGCAAUAAUAGGAAAGAAAAUCAAUCAAUUUAAGGUUUUACAAUUCUUAUAAGAUUCUCAAAGACUGGUUGAUUAGAAUGUUUGUUAAAUCAUGUAAGUGUCGAUUAAUUGAUUUGAUUCAUGGUACCACUACCACUAAUCUUUAUCUUUAUCAUUUUCAUCUUGUUUUGUUAAAACUUAUAUUUAAGUAGUGGAUUUGGUUUUGUAUUGUUUUAUUUUGAGGAGAUUUCUUGCUUUUCAAGGAGUAGGGAUCUUGGCAGAAACUUUGUGGACGGGAGGAGGUAUAUAAUUUUAAUUUAGGUCACUAGUUCAAUAUUUGGAGGCAUUUAUGUAGCUUUUGUGUGAUGCAGAUUGCAGAUAUUAGUCCUCUUUUACCGAAAUCAGAUGAUCGAGAAAUGGCUAAGGACCCUGGUGUUGGUUGCUGUACUUGACAGUGUUGACUUAAUUGACUUACUAAUAGAAUUCUUGAUUAGUUUUGUCUUGUUAAUUCUUUUCAUAAAUAUUUUGUAAUGAUCUAGUUGCGUUUAUGAGGUUGGAUUAGAUUGUUCGUGCUGCACGAAAGAGACCAAAUAUGUUUAACAGGGAGAGGCCUUUGUUCCUAAAAGUGUUGUGCGGUUUGGAACACGCCUGGCAGGACGAGAUAAUGUCCAGAAUUUACAAGCUGAAGAUUCCUGGAUUGUAAUAGAAAAUGCAGAAAGUUCUGGAUCGCUUAAUCUAUUGUAAUUCUUGUUUCUCUCCCAUCGUGAAACUUCAUUGUUUGAUGUUGUAAAUAGUAUAGUGAAAUUAGUCAAUCUAGGCAUGCAGCAAUGUGUGCCAUUUUGUGGAACUUCAUUGUUUGAUGUUGUACAUGCUAGCUCUUUGUUGAAGUCGCAAUAAUGCAACCUCUAUAGUUUUUUAUGUCAUUGUACAUUCUACUAUUGUUUCUUCUACUCUUCUGCACUGGUG